UGGGGGAUAUUGCACAAUGGGGGGAACCUUAAUGCAGCGACGCCGCGUGAGGGAUGGAGGCCUUCGGGUUGUGAACCUCUUUCGCUCGUGUGCAAGCCGCUAUUUGGGUAGUGGUGAGUGUAGCGGGUAAAGAAGCGCCGGCUAACUACGUGCCAGCAGCCGCGGUAAUACGUAGGGCGCGAGCGUUGUCCGGAUUUAUUGGGCGUAAAGGGCUUGUAGGCGGUUUGUCGCGCCUGUCGUGUAAUCCUCUGGCUUAACUGGGGGUGUGCGGUGGGUACGGGCAAGCUUGAGUGCGGUAGGGGAGAUUGGAAUUCCUGGUGUAGCGGUGGAAUGCGCAGAUAUCAGGAGGAACACCGGUGGCGAAGGCGGGUCUCUGGGCCGUUACUGACGCUGAGGAGCGAAAGCGUGGGGAGCGAACAGG
rnacentral:rRNA from 1 species